rnacentral:rRNA from 1 species
AGUCUGAUCCAGCCAUGCCGCGUGAAGGAUGAAUGCCCUCUGGGUUGUAAACUUCUUUUAUAGGGGAAGAAAGAUACUUUUUUUAAGGUAGUUGACGGUACCCUAUGAAUAAGCACCGGCUAACUCCGUGCCAGCAGCCGCGGUAAUACGGAGGGUGCAAGCGUUAUCCGGAUUUACUGGGUUUAAAGGGUGCGUAGGCGGGCAUGUAAGUCAGUGGUGAAAUACCGGAGCUUAACUUCGGAACUGCCAUUGAUACUAUAUGUCUUGAAUAUUGGGGAGGUAAGCGGAAUAUGUCAUGUAGCGGUGAAAUGCAUAGAUAUGACAUAGAACACCGAUUGCGGAGGCAGUUUGCUACGCAAAUAUUGACGCUGAGGCACGAAAGCGUGGGGAUCAAACA